CAGUAGCAUCCCUGUGUUUUCUGGAAGACGGUUCCGCAUUUCCUUCAGACUGAAAAUCAGUUGUUUCCUGCAAUACUAUCUGCAUAGAAGUAGCCAGUGACACCACAUUUACUAUCCUUGGCAUCAUUAAGGAGUCUUCAUUUUCUGUUCAGUGUUCAUUUUCUUGUCACCUUGACUGGAGUCCCUUCCAUUCUGAAACAGAACAUUAAAAAGGCAGUUAAACUCAGUCCUGCAGAGAAGCUCCAGCCAGCUUGACAGAACUGCACUCUCCUUUCCAAUUGGUAUUCUUUACCUGGAGGGAUACAACAUGAUGGACAGUGGAGUUUGGAACGUUUUUCAGCUCUGGAAACUGAACUACUGUAGUUAGCCUAAUACCACAAAACAAAACUCA